AUUGAACGCUGGCGGCAGGCCUAAUACAUGCAAGUCGAACGAGGGGCGGACGGGUGAGUAAUGUCUGGGAAACUGCCUGAUGGAGGGGGCUAACUACUGGAAACGGUAGCAAAUACCGCUUACCAUCAGCUGUGCCCAGGGGGGAGUAGCUUGUUGGUGGGGAAACGGCUCAUCAAGGCGACGAUCCCUAGCUGGUCUGAGAGGAUGACCCGCCACACUGGAACUGAGACACGGUCCAGACUCCUACGGGAGGAAGCAGUGGGGAAUAUUGCACAAUGGGCGCAAGCCUGAUGCAGCAAUGCCGCGUGUAUGAAGAAGGCCUUCGGGUUGUAAAGUACUUUCGUCGGUGAGGCGUUACCCACAGAAAAAGCACCGGCUAACUCCGUGCCAGCAGCCGCGGUAAUAC
rnacentral:rRNA from 1 species